rnacentral:lncRNA from 1 species
UAUUUCACAAUUCACAAUAGUGUAAUGAAUAGUAAAACUUCCCGGAUCUUUGACUUUAGGAGGAAGCGUCUUCAACAAAUAGUGCUGCAAUUACCCUGUACUUCAAUUGUCUCCUCAUCUAAAUAUUUCUUCUUUUUGAUGAACUACUUUAAAUAUUUCGCAUAAGCAAGGAUUUGUUGCAAUGCUUCAGUCAAUGGAAUAGUAAUCUCCAAUUUCUUGAAGAUCUCAUUAAAAUACCCAAAUUGUUUCUCUUUUUCCUUCCUAGAAUAUUUCUUUGGGUAAGGAAGAGAUUUCUCAACUAUUCUUUCUUUUCUCUUGUCCUCUCCUUCUUCUUUUUCCUCCCCCUCAUCAUUCUUCUUUUCUUUCUUUCUCUCCGCAUCACUUUUUCUCUCUUCAUCUUCUCUCAGCUUAUUUUUCUCUCUACUCAUGUUUUCAUUCUCAACAACUUUCUUUUCUUUUCUCUCAAGUUCUUUUUCCCGCAAAUGUCUUACCAGUCA